rnacentral:rRNA from 1 species
GAUGAACGCUGGCGGCGUGCCUAAUACAUGCAAGUCGAGCGAACAGACGAGGAGCUUGCUCCUCUGACGUUAGCGGCGGACGGGUGAGUAACACGUGGAUAACCUACCUAUAAGACUGGGAUAACUUCGGGAAACCGGAGCUAAUACCGGAUAAUAUAUUGAACCGCAUGGUUCAAUAGUGAAAGACGGUUUUGCUGUCACUUAUAGAUGGAUCCGCGCCGCAUUAGCUAGUUGGUAAGGUAACGGCUUAUCAAGGCAACGAUGCGUAGCCGACCUGAGAGGGUGAUCGGCCACACUGGAACUGAGACACGGUCCAGACUCCUACGGGAGGCAGCAGUAGGGAAUCUUCCGCAAUGGGCGAAAGCCUGACGGAGCAACGCCGCGUGAGUGAUGAAGGUCUUCGGAUCGUAAAACUCUGUUAUUAGGGAAGAACAAAUGUGGAAGUAACUAUGCACGUCUUGACGGUACCUAAUCAGAAAGCCACGGCUAACUACGUG